GAAACAAUAAGCAUCAACUGUAAAAUUUUGAAGAAGAAAUCCAAUUAAUCACCAACAAUCUAAAGUCAUCGAAGGAUACCAUUCAGGCUAAUACGAUACCAAAGAUAAAAUCCCGUAGCACUCCCGCCAGGCUUCCAUCUGUAAGGAAACGGACGCCAGCACGGAGAUCCCUCAAUGACCCCAUGACCGCAACCCAGACGGCUCGCAAUGACCCCAUGAUCGCAACUCUGGCGGGUUUGGACAACGCCACUACUAGCAUCCUGACUUGCGCUGCCACUGGGUUCCCAACAUUCUCCAGUGUCCUCAGCCUAACGCAUAAUUUGAGGCUGCCACUUCAGCACCAAUGGCCAUUUCCCCAUUGAUAACUCAAGAUCACAACUGUUCCCAGGGCCUGCUGAAAGCUUGGGAUUAGGUGGUCAACUGUUCCCAGGGUCCACCUAACCUAGCCAUUAACCCGCCUUAAUCAUAUACAUAUAUGAUACAUUAUAGUUUAUGCAUUUGAUAACAUUGACUUUUUUCAAUAAUUGACAUUAACUAUUGAUUGCAAGCAUUAUUGUGAUUAUUAUAUUGCUUGAACAAUGUUUGCAUUGAUUAUCAUGAUUGAUUGACAUUGAUUGAACACUAAUCUUGAUUUUGUUUAUUGUACAGCCAUAUACCUGCUCACCAAGUGGGUGGCAGGUCGGUUGUUAAACUAUUGGUAGGUUUUGUAAAAUAAAU